UUCUUUUGAAGACUGAUGAGUGUUGGUGACGCACUUCAGAUGCAUGAGUCAUUUAACAUUUCUUUGAAGUGAGCGAUAUUUCGUCACAGGAUCAGCAUGAAAACGUUAUAGUGAGUAUGGAAAUUUGUUUAUUUUAUACACAGCUAUAGAUUUUCUUCUGGAAGAUAAUCUCUUUCGCCAAGCGCAGUUAUGUAAUUAUGUACGACUUUUAUGUAUAUUGUAUUUGCUGAUCUGCAAUAAAAUAAUUGAAUCUUCAAUUCCAGAUCACAAUUCAUUAAAGUUGAGCUGUUUACGCAAAUGCGGUCUGAUCUCGCGCGCCUUCAUAUCCUGAAGUUCGUGAUUUCUUCAGCUGUGACGCACGAAAAUUUGCCAGUUUUAGUGACGAUGAAAGAAAACGUCUACCGUGCUUCCUUUUUAUAUUAAAGCAAGUCCGGAAAUCGGAAGGAAGUAUAGAAUAACGUGGAAUCCUAUCAGUACCGAGUGCCUCUGUCCACAUUCAGUAUACGUGAGUGGUUCAAGUAAAAACGAAACGUUUUGUACAGCACACGGAAAAUGACUUG